rnacentral:misc_RNA from 1 species
UCUCCGUAGGUGAACCUGCGGAGGGAUCAUUACAGAGUUCAUGCCCUACCGGGUAGAUCUCCCACCCUAUGAUAUUAUUACUUUGUUGCUUUGGCGGGCCGUUAGGCUCCGGCCCGACCACCGGCCCCGGCUGGUAAGCGCCCGCCAGAGGACCCAAAACCCUGAAUAUUAGUGUCGUCCGAGUACUAUAUAAUAGUUAAAACUUUCAACAACGGAUCUCUUGGUUCUG